GUGACAGAUGCUGCCAUGGCUGUCGUCAGGCUCGUGUCGUGAGAUGUUGGGUUAGGUCCCGCAACGAGCGCAACCCCUGCUAUCAGUUGCCAUCAAGUAAUGUUGGGCACUCUGGUAGGGCUGCCGGUGACAAGCCGGAGGAAGGUGGGGAUGACGUCAAGUCAUCAUGGCUCUUACGAGUCGGGCUACACACGUGCUACGAUGGUACCUACAGAGGGAACCCGAGAUCNCGAGGUCGAGCCAAUCUUAAAAAGGUAUCUCAGUUCGGAUUGUUCUCUGCAACUCGAGAACAUGAAGUUGGAAUCGCUAGUAAUCGCGGAUCAGCAUGCCGCGGUGAAUACGUUCCCGGGUCUUGUACACACCGCCCGUCACGCCAUGGGAGUUUGUUCUGCCUGACGCCAUYGAGGUAACCGAGCAAUCGGAGCCUGGUGACCACGGUAGGGUAAG
rnacentral:rRNA from 1 species